GUUGUUGCGAACUGCGAUUUUCUCUUUCGUAUUUCCAGACAAUGUUUUGAUCAACCGUUUUGCGGCUAUUAGUUAGAGUAAUAUGUACCUACCCUCCUUCUAGCGCCAAACUGUGGGAACCGAAAUUCGCACUGUCGAUUUCCGUUUAAAAUUAGGAAACUAGGAAAACCCUAAUUUCCCAGAGGUCCCGGAUCUCUGCGAGAGCCGACGGAAAGUGACCAAAUAUAUGUGGAAAUCGUGAAAAGAUAACAAACGAGUUUAGAGAAAACAGUAGAUCUUAUUUCGAGUCCGCGUAAGAGCAUUGCGAUCAUUAUAGGAGAUCAUAAAAGCUUUGGCUGCAAAGGCUGUCAGCGAGUUACCUAGUUCUAGCGGCCUAAAAGCUCAAACCUAGUUGAGUCGCAGCUCGAUAACAAAAGACAAAGAAAAUAUAGAAAAAGGUUUUUGAUUGAUUUCGGACUGAACCUUAUGAAAAGGCUGCCUACGUACCCCUUUUGAGGAUCAAGCCGAACGUAGUUCAAGAGUGAACCAAGAGAUCGAACUGCUUGUGCGCGUUCGUCUGGUAAUCGGGUGCCAGUCAUGGAAACAGAGCAUGUCGAGAAUAAUGCCUCAGAGUUUCUAAGUGCCGAGAGUUCUGAGUCUAAAAUGUUGUCCCCCGUGCCUCUCGCCUAGGACUCCUU
rnacentral:lncRNA from 1 species